rnacentral:sRNA from 1 species
AUGGCAGGCCCUGCAGGGAGCCAGAGUCUGGGUCCCCUGUGCUUCCACAGCAGCCCCCAAGCCCUCUACACGGUCCUCUUAAUAGUGCUGGUCAUGAUGAGCUUGGUGUUUGGUAAGUGGCUCCAAGGGUUCAGAAGGGUCUCCUGGCCUGGAUGGAGAAACCCACAGACACCAAGUGUCUGGGUACACCUGUCCAGGAUGCUCAGGUAAACCCAUGCAGGAGGAGAGAUGGGACAGAUGGGUUUGGUAGGGAAUGCCUGCUCAUGGACUGAUGUGCAAUCUGAAGAUUUUUAAAAAUUUAUUAUUAUUAUUAUUUUUGAGAUGGAGUCUCGCUCUGUAUCCCAGGCCGGAGUGCAGUGGCAAGAUCUCGGCUCACUGCAACCUCCACCUCCUGGGUUCAAGCGAUUCUCAUGCCUCAGCCUCCCGAAUAACUGGGAUUACAGGCAUGAGCCACCAAGCCCAGCUAAUUUUUGUAUAUUUAGUAGAGACGGGGUUUCACCAUGUUGGCCAGGCUGGUCUCGAACUCCUGACCUCAGGUACCUGCUCGCCUUGGCCUCCCAAAGUGCUGGGAUUACAGGCGUGAGCCACCGCACCCCUCUGAAGGAGAUUUCUAGUGACCACCCCAGGGCUGUCUCACUUCACAGCAGUGACCUGAAUAGAGAUACUGAAGGAAUCCUCUCCGGAUCUGAGGGCAACAUAGAAUAGGGAGGGUUAGGGAGUGUGCUGGAUGAGAAAACCAGAAUCCACAGGAUAGAACAAGACUGAGUCCAGCCUGCUGGGCUCCCCACUUGGCUGCAAAGCACCAGCCACAGAGACAUAGGAUUCAAAGUGUUGGUUUAGCACUUUCCUCUGCCUAACACCAAGUGCUCUGCUGGGUCUGGGGAUUUGUUAACAUGUGGUCUGGCCUUAGGACCAGAGGAAAAGGGGGAUGUAUGUGUAUGCAAUUGGGGAAGGAAGCAGAGAAUUGGGGCUUUGAUGGUUUUCUGAGACAGGAAGGGAGGGAGGAGUGGGGUUGAGUGGCCUAGAAUCAGGCAGUGGUAGGGUGUGAGGUAGAAUGGGGUGUGAGUGGGGUCAGCACUUCUCUGUGUUCUAGGUAAGUUUGUUCCUGUCAAUUGGGAACCCCCUCAACCACUUCCAUUCCCCAAAUACCUGCGCUGCUACCGAUGCCUCUUGGAGACCGAGGAGUUAGGGUACCUUCUGGGAUCUGACAUCUGCCUCACCCCGGCUGGCAGCAGCUGCAUCACUCUCCACAUAAAGAACAGCAGCGGUUCUGACGUCAUGGUGAGUGACUGCCGAAGUAAGGAGCAGAUGAGUGAUUGUUCAAAUACCCGAACUUCUCCGGUGUCUGGCUUCUGGAUAUUCUCUCAAUGCUGCUUCCUGGAUUUCUGCAAUGACCCUCAAAACAGAGGGCUCUAUACUCCUUAG